GAUGAAUGCUGACGGCGUGCUUAACACAUGCAAGUCGAGCGGUAAGGCCCUUCGGGGUACACGAGCGGCGGACGGCUGAGUAACGCGUGGGAACAUGCCCUAAAGUGAGGAAUAACUGCCCGAAAGGGUGGCUAAUGCCGCAUAUGAUCUUCGGAUUAAAGGAUUUAUCCGCUUUAGGAGUGGCCUGCGUACGAUUAGCUUGUUGGUGAGGUAAUGGCUUACCAAGGCGACGAUCGUUAGCUGGUCUGAGAGGAUGACCAGCCAGACUGGAACUGAGACACGGUCCAGACUCCUACGGGAGGCAGCAGUGAGGAAUCUUCCACAAUGGGCGAAAGCCUGAUGGAGCAACGCCGUGUGCAGGAUGAAGGCCCUCGGGUCGUAAGCUGCUUUUAUGAGUGAAGAAUAUGACGGUAACUCAUGAAUAAGCACCGGCUAACUACGUGCCAGCCGCCGCCGUA
rnacentral:rRNA from 1 species